GAAAUGUUUUAAAAUUUGUAAAUGUUAUGAAAUUUGUAGCUCUAAAGAGAUAUUUCUCUGAAUUGUGUGUUACAGUGCGGAGGACGCUGAAGAGCGGUGUGAGCUUGGAGGUGGUGCAGGCACUGAGUCUCAGAUGAGAGAACCAGAAAUAUUAAAGGACUAGUCAAGAAUUGGCUGUUGAAAGCUGCAAGAUCUGAGAAUCUGAGUGUGUGAGGACUUGUUUCUCAGACACCUGUUGCAGAUGCACUUCAUCUUCCUGUAAUGGAAUAAUGAAGAGACUCCUAAGACUCUUCACAGGAAAUCACAAUCAAAUUAAUUGACCUGAUGGUUUUUUGUGUGUGUGUAUAUUUGGUACAUAAAGUAUUAAAUUACCAGACAUGAUGUUUUUAUUAAUAUAAUUUAUAUACAACCCAACGAUGAUGCACGGUUUAGCAGAAUAUUUUGUACAGGUUCAAGGUUUUUUAUACUAUAUGUAGCACAUUCAGAGAAGAGUAAACUCGGGUGGUCAAAAUGUGACUCUGUAUAGACGUUGGGUAGAAGGGAAUUUUAUUAAUGUUGCAGUUUUACACUGAAGUUCUGAAGUCACAAUUUCCAUUCUAAAAAUUAGGAUAUUGCUUGGCUUUUCCAGACUAUUUAAAUUAGUAACCACUUAUGUGGGGAAAUUCUUUAGAGCUAAGGAUUAUAAUCUUCACUCACAAAGAGAUCUUAUUCAGAUUAAAAAAAAAAAAAAAAGUAGGUUAUGUGGUGUUUUGUUGUGAAUUUUUUUUUUUUUUUUUUUUUCCCCUCUUUCUUUCUUUUAUUACUAAUCAUAACACUUUAUGGUUUUGUGGAUGCUAUAAUACCUUGCAGUUUGGUCGUGUGUGUUUUUUUUAAAUUGACAGAAAUCCACAUUGCACAUGUUAAGUGUCACUAUUACACCAACACAGGUUCAUAUGUUGGCCAAUUUUAGCUGAGAUUUUUUUUUUUUUUCUUUAGGUUCCACUGUGAGACCUUCUCGGUUCACUAGAUAUUUUCAGUUCAGCAAAAUGUUUUUAUGGUCACUGCUUCUUUUGCACAGGAGGUUGUUUUGAGGAGUAUUCAGCUAGCUCUAUGUCACACUGUCGUUAUACUGGUGUGAAAUUUUGUAAUGUAAAUGCAUGUUUGCUUCAUCCUGAAUGUAUUACUGUAGGUGUGCGUCACUGUUAAGAGACCCAGUCCUUACUCUUAACCACUUCAAGCACAUGCAUGCAAACUCCUUACUGCAGAUGCAAGUUUUGUUUUUUUUAAAUCCUUUGACGUGUGUAAAUGUUUGACCUUGAACAGUGAAUGCAGAAAAUAAAGUAUCUGAACAGCA
ensembl:lncRNA